GCGGGAAGAGCUCAAAUUUAAAAUCUGGCUUGCUUGCAAGUCCGAGUUGUAGUCUGAAGAAACGUUUUCCAUGAAAGCUGAGGCACAAGUCCUUUGGAACAGGGCAUCAUAGAGGGUGAGAAUCCCGUCCAUGGUCUCAUGCAUUUCAUUUUGUGAUACGUUUUCUAAGAGUCAGGUUGUUUGGGAAUGCAGCCUAAAAUGGGUGGUAAAUUUCAUCUAAAGCUAAAUAUUGGCGAGAGACCGAUAGCGAACAAGUACCGUGAGGGAAAGAUGAAAAGAACUUUGAAAAGAGAGUUAAAAAGUACGUGAAAUUGUUGAAAGGGAACCGUUUGAAGCCAGUCUUGCUUACUUGUGAUCAAUCUUAGCUUCGGCUUGGAUGCACUCUCGAGUUAUGCAGGUCAACGUCAGUUUGAGAGGUGGGAAAAAAGUUUGAGGAAUGUGGCCUUCGGGUGUUAUAGCCUCUUACUAAAUACCAUCUCCUGGACUGAGGCUCGCAGUAAAAAUGUGGGUUGGUUUGCUCCUGAGGUGAAUCAUUAUUAAGACAGCUUGCUGACUUAGUUUUGUGGAUCUUCACGGUAGACCAGCUUCUAAUUUGCUUAGGUCGUUGACAUAAUGGCUUUAAAUGACCCGUCUUGAAACACGGACCAAGGAGUCUAACAUAUAUGCGAGUAUUUGGGUGUCAAACCCACAUGCGCAAUGAAAGUGAAAUUAGGUGCCAAACCCGCAAGGGUGGCAGCAUCGGCCGGCU
rnacentral:rRNA from 1 species